AAAUCAAUGUUAGUUAACUGCAUGUCAUAAAGUUUCGAUCAUCUAAGCAUCCCUAGUAAACCGGCGUAAAGGAAGAGGGCUCAGGUUCUAAGAAGUCGGAAAGCUCACAAGACAAAGGUAAAUCCUCAUCGUAGACUCUAUGGCGAAUUGAAGCGAGCACGUGAUCACCACUUAACAUAUCAAGCGCUUCCGCUAGUUGCUUUAA